UACGUAGGUGGCGAGCGUUGUCCGGAUUUACUGGGCGUAAAGAGCGCGCAGGCGGUCGUCCAAGUCGCGUGUGAAAGCCCCCGGCUCAACUGGGGAGGGUCACGCGAUACUGAUCGACUCGAAGGCAGGAGAGGGAAGCGGAAUUCCCGGUGUAGUGGUGAAAUGCGUAGAUAUCGGGAGGAACACCAGUGGCGAAGGCGGCUUCCUGGCCUGUUCUUGACGCUGAGGCGCGAAGGCUAGGGUAGCAAACGGG
rnacentral:rRNA from 1 species